AAGGAAUAUUGGUCAAUGGACGCAAGUCUGAACCAGCCAUGCCGCGUGGAGGAUGAAGGUCCUCUGGAUUGUAAACUUCUUUUAUCUGGGACGAAACACUUCUUUUCUAAGAGGCCUGACGGUACCAGAUGAAUGAGCACCGGCUAACUCCGUGCCAGCAGCCGCGGUAAUACGGAGGGUGCAAGCGUUAUCCGGAUUCACUGGGUUUAAAGGGUGCGUAGGUGGGUAUGUAAGUCAGUGGUGUAAUCCCCGAGCUUAACUUGGGAACUGCCAUUGAUACUAUAUAUCUUGAAUACCGUAGAGGUAAGCGGAAUAUGUCAUGUAGCGGUGAAAUGCUUAGAUAUGACAUGGAACACCAAUUGCGAAGGCAGCUUACUAUGCGGUGAUUGACACUGAGGCACGAAAGCGUGGGUAGCAAACA
rnacentral:rRNA from 1 species